CAUAACUGCAUACUUCGAAUGAAAACAAGGCGCGAACGAAAAGCGCUGGUGUUUUUAUUUUAUCCACGUCUUGUAGCCCUCUUACUCAAUCUCAUCAAAUAGCUACAGAGUAAAAGGAGACGGUUCCCAUGAAUAACGUGUGUUAAACAAGCACCAGGUCUAUACAGAAAAUGUUGCUUCAAAAUGCCUUCUAUAGAUUUCCUGACUCUGUUCUUUGCGACUACUUAUACUUUAGAUAUUUUAAGCACUGUCACCGGGUAGGUUUAUUAACAUUCCUAUUUUUCUUUGUUUUCUCCAUGGACCAAGCUAUAGGACCAUUUCAUCCCUGAUGAUUUUGAGAAACCAAGAGUCGAUGGUAAAAAGAAGUUGAAGUGGAAGGCAAUACCAAGCAUUUUUGCGCAUCGGCCGCAGAAAAAUCCCAGAAAGCCACCGUUUCCUAGACUCCAAUACUUCCUGCAAGCAAGCACUGUCUUGCAACCAGACUGCCGCCAGCCAGAUGCAGUUGAGGCACCACAACCCACAGGGAGCCAAGGAGCACCUGAGGUCCCAGAAGACACUCCCAGGGAGCACCUGACUUCCUAGGAGGGACUGACAGCUCUGCUGUGAUUGGAAAUCCAGCAAUGGAAUGCACAACAGCAGGUUGCCACCAGCCGACAGCUGAUAACCUGGUAUGUUCAGGUGACACACUACAAGGAACAGGGAGCCAAGGAGCACCUGAAGGCCCAGAGGAAACUCAAGGUAUCCAGGGAGCAUCUGAGAGCCUAGGAGGGACUGACAGCUCUUCUGCGACUGGAAACUCACCAAUGGAAUGCUCUACAGCAGAUACAGCAGAAGAUGACCCAACGGAUGACGUUCUAGUUUUAAAACGGCAACUCAACUUGGAACAGAAAAAAACGAGCCAAGGCUGAAGAAGAAUGCAGAAACCUGCGGCAGUCCUUCAACAAGAUUUUUGGCAGUUAUCUGCAAAAAGGGACCAUGAGGGGAUCUGCGUGGACUGACAAAACAAUACAGGAGUCAUUAAAAGUGCGACUUGCCUGCGGAUCAAGAGGUUAUGAGUACCUCCACUACAAUGGAUGGCCACUGCCUGCAGAGAGAACUCUCCAAAAGAAAAUUGUUUGGACAGAAUAUUAGUAAAAGGUCAGUUAGUGUCCCUGUAGGUCUUCCUGCUAUUGCAAAAAGUUUAUUUUUAGAGGGUUUAUAUAAUUGUUUGUUCUUGAGAACCUCUGGUCAUAACGAAUACUGUGGUAUCAUUGUGGUUUAUCAGCUAGAGCUUACUAUGUGAAACAAAUGUGAAUGUAGCUUAAGUUUUCAGAAGCAAAGUGCGAACUCGGUAGUGGACUUUCAUUUCCUAGAGUAGAAUGUGACAAAAUUUUAAAGUGAAUACUGUAUAGUUUUAUGUAUUAACUAUUGUUGAAUUCCAAUGGUGGAGCCGGAGCAGCCGAUGGACUCUGUGAGCGAGCACUCGACUCUGGCGUAGAGCAACGCCUCCAAAUACGCGAAUGGAACACAACCUGUGCUGCCGGAGCAAGGCGGAAGCGGAAGUUCUAUCCUUCGGGCGCCAAGUUACCCAGGAUACCUUGCGUGUUGUCAUUCUCUUCCGCUGUUUGCUCCCAGCCAGUAUAUUAACUCUAUGCUCCCAGCACCGCCGCACCGAUCACUUGUCUUUUCAGCGCCGUUCACCCGCUGCUUAAAACUGCAAAAUGGAUAUCUUGCCAAUUAAGCAUACAACAGCUUUUGUUUACUAUGGUGAGCACACAGGAUGCUCACAAACAUGGUAGGCGUCUUCGCAACUUGAAGGACGUCCUCGACGAAGCUCACUACUUCGGGCCUCUUCGCGGGAAUGCGGAACAUCCUGUCGAAUUCCCGCUCAUAAGUGGCAGUUUCAGCGUCGUUGGCACUAUCCGAGAAAUCGCUCAUGUCGGAACUUGAGCUUUCCGACUCGGAGCUGUCACUAUCGAGUAGCAGAAGCAAUGCCCCACGCUCUGCCAAACUAGCUGAGCCUAUCCGUACCGAGCCGUUCAUGUCGUCCGCCAUUACCAUCGUGAGUCGCGACCGGCUGCGCCCCCCAGCAGACAAACGUAAAGGAAAUGCGUCACGCAGAGUUCCGGUCCACUCCGCCGAUUUUGGCGGAGCAUCUUUGCUGCUCCAUGGAGUCGCUCCCGCUCUGAAUCCACUCAGACUCUUUCAUUGGACCAUUUUACUCCCGCCCUCACUCUGUCAUUCGAACAAACUUGCUCCGAAACGAGCAGAAAAACUUGCUCCGACUCCGCCAUUGGAAUUCAACAUAUGAUGCUGCUUACCCAGAGCAAUGGACAUCUCAUUCCUAGCAAGUGAAAAAGCAAUAUCACCGUAUUUUGCUGAUUUAUUGAGUUUUUAUUACUAUUUUAUUAUUGUUUAUUACUGCCUAUUUAUUUUAAUUUCUGUGUCAGUCGUGAAAUGGUAAACAGGACGCUUGUUUACAAAUUACAGUUGUGUACAAUUGACUAUCUCUUACUCUGUGAUAUCUUAAAUUUCUAUUGAUAGAUGAGUAUGUCUAUUUGUACUAGUCAUAGCAGCUUUCCUGGCAAUUUUAUUUGUGUACUGUAGAAAUACAUAUAACCUGGAGGGUGUACUAACUCUUUAGUCCCUGCUCGUGACAUGGCAGAGAUUGAAAUGUAUAAAUUCAUUUUCAUAACACAUUUGCAGUUAUUGUGCAAGUCCAUAAUCAAUACAUCUCACUGUGUCAUACUUUUAAAUCCCAUUUAUAGACCAAGUUACAUGUAUUUGUCCUAGUCACAGUCGCUUUCCUGGCAAGUUCAUUUCUGUAUUGUACGUCCAAGUUAUUAAGUGCCUGCUUGUGACGUGGCAGAGUGCAAAAUGUAUAAGGUUUUUAACAUGUCAAAUGUUUGUUAUUGUGCGUGUCCAUGAUCACUAUAUGAUCACUCUGUGAUAUUUUAAAAUCUCAUUUUCAAACAUGUGUAUUUGACCUAGUUACAGUAGCUUUCCUAGCAAUUUUAUUUCAGUACCAUAAAAUAAGUAAUAACCUGGAGGGUGUACCUCCAGGUUAUUUAGUACCCACUUGUUACAUGGCAGAGUGCAAAAUGUAUAAAGUGUGUGCCUCAUAAUCAGGACUGGUUUUGGCACGUUAAACCCCAGAAAGAAGAAAAUGUAUAAAGUUUUUUUUUUUCACAUGUCCAAUGUUUGUUAGUGUGCAUGAUCACUGAAACAUGGGUGAUAUUCAUGGUACAAAAUCUUAACGGCGUGUUCUUUAAUUAGUGUGUCAAUAGAGCUUCUAGACUCCCAUUGUGCCAGUGUUUCUCAAAAGCAUAAUUCUGCAGUUCAGGCAAGAUGAAAAGGGUAACAAAAAAUGGAGACUUGCAUAACAGUGGAUGAAUAAUGGAAGCCUCAAUCCAGAGCAAACAUUUCGACAAGAGCAUGUGUUUUUGUCGGGACCCUGAGUAAGGUCAAGUCCCCUUGUAGAAACAUUGACUCUAGGAUGAGGCUUCCUUUGUUUGUCCACAAUUAACUCUGCAGUUGUAAUGCUAAACACAGCCGUCGGGCUAGAUGCUUCACUGUCGAAUGCCUGCUAUUGUGUGAAAACUUGGUGUUGCAAAAAAGACUUUCUUCAGUGGCGUAUAUUGCUGUUGUGAAAUAAAUAUGUUGCUUGCCUCCACAUCUUACUUUGUGACUGCAUGCUGUUCUGAAAAUGCAGAUUUUGCUGACAGCAUGAAG